ACCAUUUUCCGAGCUUUGCUGUGAGAGUUCGUACAUUCGUGGCUGCGUUCUUUCCUCCGUUAAGUGUUCCUUUAUCCACUUUCUCAGCUCUCUAUUUUCUAGGGUUUUCUAUCGUACCUAAUGCAAUUUCCUAUUCUUUUAUUUUUCUUCCCAUCAAUUGUACGUCGACUCAGAAUGGAAGAUUUCAAGUUUCGUAUUAGGGGAGAUGAGAUCAAAUGGCUAAGCCUUGAGCGAAAAGAAAGAAAAUCCUCACUUGAAGAGAGACGAGAGUGGCUGUGGUCUUCGUUGAAGGAGAAUCGAAGUGUGUGUGAGCCGGAGGGCCACGACGUAGCGGUAAAAAUUCUACGAAUCAGAUAAUGGAGGAAAACUUGAGUGGCCACAACGGUGCAAUAUUUUGACAAAAUUGAAGUGUUCGACGGAUCGAUUUCCUAGGGUACGCUAGGUUACCAUCACAAAAUGGGAAGGGCGUCGGCAAAUUGAAGCUUACUACACUGGUUUAAAUCAUCUCUGGAAGUUCAUUGAAAAAGGAAAAAAGAAAAAAUGAAAAAAAGAAAAAUAAUCAUCUGUGAUCAAGGGUGGACCCAUUUGCAGAGAAUGGAAGAAAUUAUCAAUUUCAAAUGGAGUGUACAAUAGUCUCUCUCAUUCUCGUAACCAUUUUCGACUCAUCUGCACAAUCAAAUGGAGCAAGAGGGCAAGAGAGGUUUACCAUAAUGUAAGGUAUCUCAAUUUCAGAAUCAUUGGGUGGGUAAAGGUCGGAACCGUUGUUUUUAUGGAAGUUAAUUAUUGUUGAGCGUAUUCGAGAAGACAUAGAAGAGGGAACAGAACUAGGACUUGCUCCCAGAUGCUGUGAGGAAAGAGAGGAUGAAGAUUCCUUCUCAAAGAGCAAGCACUUCUCAUGGGUGAACAGAUCAUCCAGAUGAAUUGAUACUAUGUUUUUAUGAUGACGGUCCUUUCAAAAUCACUUAUAACUUUUGACUUGUUUGCAAUGAAUAUGUUUGCGACAAGGCAUCAGUUCUUCUAUACGGUGGUCCAACCAAUUGGAACUAGUUCUGAUGUUUCUAUAUUUGCCAUGAUGGAAAGAGGACCUGCAGGUACAUGCUAUGGAAUUUGUAAGGUCGAGGAAGUUCGGGGCCAAACACAAAGCGUUUGUAACUUUGAAUAAUCUGAGACUUAGCUCUCUCAAAUCUCGGACGAGAGCGUAGAUCGGAUGUGGAUGACUGAAGAAUGGAGUUUGCCGGGUGGAGAGCCAGGUCCGAUUCCAUUGUUUCAAUGGUAAAAGGAAGGAAAUUUGAGUAAUGGUAAAAUAUAUCUAAUUUUUAUGAUUCAAGGAUUCAUUUCUACGAUAUAAAAAUUCAUAUUUAAUGUUCAGGACUCUAAUGUUUCACUGUUUCACUUAUAAGAGUUCGAAUGUUUAAUUUUUACUAUUGAAA